GUAAAAAUGUCGAAGGAUCCAGUAUGUUAUAGUCCAUCUGUAACGCAGUGUGCGUUUAAGAGAGGAGCUUCCACGGCUGAAAGAAGCUCUAGGUGAAGGAUGACAGAACGCUUAUCCGGAGUGCAGCUAAUCACUGCCGUUUUUGCCGCGUUAAGGCAUGUUUGAGAGAUGAGUACAGAUGAUUGUAUUCAUAAUCAGGGUGGUACCGCGAGCUAAGCCCUCGUCCCUGUU
rnacentral:ncRNA from 1 species